UUGGUCUGCUUCCCCCCACCGGGUCAGCAACCUCAGGAGAUCACUGGACUACCGACGUAUCCCGAAGGAGGGAGUUCAUUGGUGGACACUUAGAUUCAGGCGCGGAAGAAGGAAGCAAACAGACCCACAGCGCACAUCCAAUAGGACAAAGCAAAAUAGAAUAGGAAAAUUCACGCACCGAGGUUCCAGGGAAGGAAGGACAUCAACUCCCAAGGAUGCCAAGCGGUUUACUGCGUGUGGACCUGAACCAACCUAUCGUGGAGUGUUGGGAAUAACCACUGUCUGCAUGGCCACCAUUGCUGCUCCACUCCGAUGGGAACAGGGCCGAUUGCAUCUCCCAGGCCACAGCCUUGGCUUGAUCCAGGCACUGGGCUAAAGUGCAGGGGCGGUAAUGAACUAUCACGACAAGUGCUGAGAACACGAUCUGCACAUUUCUCAACUCCCACGUGAAGAGGCAGAAUAAGAAUCAUGACCUGAGGUUAUUCUUAGUGCUCCCAGGCUGGGGGAGAAUAGGAAGCCUGCGAGAACGAGGCCCAGAGCCAAGUGUGAGCCUCGAAAGUCCACAAACCGGUGCGGACAAUAAACCACCGCCUGGGUCAGAGACCUCCACGAAGAUGCCGAGAUCUCCCCACGGACGGGCUACAAACCGGCAGGACCAUCAACCACCGCCCGGAUCAAGGACCUGCCCUCUUUCCAUCUCCUUCCCCUCCUACACACUCCACCACGGGUUUCUCCCGAGGAGCUACCCCAAGUGCGAGUGGCAGCCCGGGAGCUGCUGGUAGCUGUGCCUGGCAGCUAGGUGAUGGAGGAGGAAGCCUGCCCCCAGCAGGAGCUGAUCCGCUGCCUCCUCCCCGUCCUUUCCCACUUGAAGGACGAGCACUCGACAGUGGGCAAAGUGAGUCUCCCCAACCCUGCACAGUCCCCUUCAUCUCGGUCCCUGGUCCUGGCCUCUUCUGCCCUCUAAAACUCAUCCUCGGAUUCUGCAUUUCCAAAAAGCCAGAUACAUAUUCUUCUGGCUGGCCCAGAGCAUCGAAUGGAGUUACACCCAAGUAGUUGGAUGGACACUAAGCGGAGAGGAGAGGGAGAGCACGGCCUGUGGUACCAUCUGGGAGGCCUUGAUGUCCUGCUUUGAGGACAACCAUCCCAUGUUCUUGUCCCAAGCUCUGGCUUAUACCAACAGCCCACAACCAGAUGUGAAAUUUACGGCCGUGCUCUUCUUCGGAGAGACCCCAAAUACAGGCUGCUCCACUGGAGCUGCUGGGAACCGUGGCUGGUGGCUGGUCGAUGGAGAAGGAAGCCUGCCAACUGCAACAUUGAUGUUCCACUGCCUCCUCUCUGUCCUCUUCCACGUAAUGGACCAGCACCCUACAGUGAGCAAACAUCAACAUCGGUCUGGAUAAUCUGUGGCUCUUCAGCGAAGACUUGGAAUUCCUUUCCCAGG